UUCGCAGGCGGCCUUUUAAGUCAGAUGUGAAAGACUACAGCUCAACUGUGGUAAGCAUUUGAAACUGAAAGGCUUGAGUUAAGGAGAGGAAAGUGGAAUUCCUAGUGUAGCGGUGAAAUGCGUAGAUAUUAGGAGGAAUACCAGUGGCGAAGGCGACUUUCUGGACUUAUACUGACGCUGAGGAACGAAAGCGUGGGGAGCAAACA
rnacentral:rRNA from 1 species